GUAGGGAAUCUUCCGCAAUGGACGAAAGUCUGACGGAGCAACGCCGCGUGAGUGAUGAAGGCUUUCGGGUCGUAAAACUCUGUUGUUAGGGAAGAACAAGUGCUAGUUGAAUAAGCUGGCACCUUGACGGUACCUAACCAGAAAGCCACGGCUAACUACGUGCCAGCAGCCGCGGUAAUACGUAGGUGGCAAGCGUUAUCCGGAAUUAUUGGGCGUAAAGCGCGCGCAGGUGGUUUCUUAAGUCUGAUGUGAAAGCCCACGGCUCAACCGUGGAGGGUCAUUGGAAACUGGGAGACUUGAGUGCAGAAGAGGAAAGUGGAAUUCCAUGUGUAGCGGUGAAAUGCGUAGAGAUAUGGAGGAACACCAGUGGCGAAGGCGACUUUCUGGUCUGUAACUGACACUGAGGCGCGAAAGCGUGGGGAGCAAACAGGAUUAGAUACCCUGGUAGUCCACGCCGUAAACGAUGAGUGCUAAGUGUUAGAGGGUUUCCGCCCUUUAGUGCUGAAGUUAACGCA
rnacentral:rRNA from 1 species